rnacentral:rRNA from 1 species
UACUAGAGUAGCACUCGCAUAUCAAUAAGCGGAGGAAAAGAAACUAACAAGGAUUCCCCUAGUAACGGCGAGUGAAGCGGGAAGAGCUCAAAUUUGAAAUCUUAAAGGGUUUCCCUUUACGAAUUGUAGUUUAAAGAAGUGUUUUCUGUUGAGGUUUUGGUAAAAGUUCUUUGGAAUAGGACAUCAUAGAGGGUGAGAAUCCCGUAUUUGACCUUUACUUUCAACUUUGUGAUACACUUUCAAAGAGUCGGAUUGUUUGGGAAUGCAGUCCAAAAUGGGUGGUAAAUUUCAUCUAAAGCUAAAUAUUGGCGAGAGACCGAUAGCGAACAAGUACCGUGAGGGAAAGAUGAAAAGAACUUUGAAAAGAGAGUUAAACAGUACGUGAAAUUGUCAAAAGGGAAGCGUUUGACACCAGUGUUGUUUUUCUGAAAAUCAAUUAAAGAACUGUUUAUGCUAAGUUGUUUAGACUUUAUCAGCUAUCUGCUUAGUUUUGAGCUUUUCUUUAAUGCACUUUUCAGUUAACAAGUCAACAUCAAUUUCUUUUGCUGUAAAAAAGCUUGAGGAAGGUGGCUUGAGAUUCGUCUUAAGUGUUUAUAGCCUCCUGCCUAUGCAGUCGGAGAGAUUGAGGUCUGCAGCGUAGAUCCUUCGGGGCUAAAUGCAUUUGUGCUAAGUUACAGCAUUUUAUAGACAACUUGUUGACUAUGAUCUGUCUUGUAGCUUACUCGCUUAUGUUAUUUUACCUACGCUUAGGAUGUUGAAGACUCUACAGAGAUA